UACGUAGGUGACAAGCGUUGUCCGGAUUUACUGGGCGUAAAGAGCGCGCAGGCGGUCGUUCAAGUCGAGUAGUGAAAGCCCCCGGCUCAACUGGGGAGGGUCAUUCGAUACUGAUCGACUCGAAGGCAGGAGAGGGAAGUGGAAUUCCCGGUGUAGUGGUGAAAUGCGUAGAUAUCGGGAGGAACACCAGCGGCGAAGGCGGCGCUCUGGGCCGGUACUGACGCUGAGGAGCGAAAGCGUGGGGAGCAAACAGG
rnacentral:rRNA from 1 species